CCUACGGGAGGCAGCAGUGAGGAAUAUUGGUCAAUGGACGAGAGUCUGAACCAGCCAAGUCGCGUGAAGGAUGACGGCCCUAUGGGUUGUAAACUUCUUUUAUAUGGGAAUAAAAUGUUCCACGUGUGGGAUUUUGUAUGUACCAUAUGAAUAAGGAUCGGCUAACUCCGUGCCAGCAGCCGCGGUAAUACGGAGGAUGCGAGCGUUAUCCGGAUUUAGUGGGUUUAAAGGGAGCGUAGGUGGUUUGUUAAGUCAGUUGUGAAAGUUUGCGGCUCAACCGUAAAAUUGCAGUUGACACUGGCAGUCUUGAGUGCGGUAGAGGUGGGCGGAAUUCGUGGUGUAGCGGUGAAAUGCAUAGAUAUCACGAAGAACUCCGAUUGCGAAGGCAGCUCACUGGGCUACAACUGACACUGAGGCUCGAAAGUGUGGGUAUCAAACAGGAUUAGAUACCCCUGUAGUC
rnacentral:rRNA from 1 species